CACUCUCUGCAGCCCCACUGGGUCUUUGCGGGCCUCGACGGGACCAGCGGCCAACUUUUCCAGCGCCUCCCUCCCCUCCGCCGAAACUCCUGCAACAAAGAAAAGUAGUCCGUGAAGGAGCGGCGACGCGGGUCAUCGCCCCUCCUUGCCCAGGAAGGCCGAGCACAGACAUGGCCACGCAGGUGAUGGGGCAGUCUUCCGGAGGAGGAGGGCUGUUCACCGGAAGUGGCCCCAUGGGCAUGGCCUUGCCAAAUGACAUGUACGACUUGCCCGACCUCUCUCGAGCUGAACUGGCUGCGCCUCAGCUCAUCAUGUUGGCAAACGUGGCCUUAGCUGGGAAAGUAAAUGGCGGCUGCUAUGAUUAUGUGGUUGGCGAAGAAAGACAGAUGGCAGAAUUGAUGCCUGUUGGGGAUAGCAACUUCUCAGAUAGUGACGGAGAAGUACUUGAGGAGUCUCCUGAGGCGAAAGGCGAACCCAGGGGGCUGGAGAAGAUGGAACUGGAAAGUUUGGAACUCAGCAUGGUCCAGCCACGGCCUGUGUUCGAGGCGUCAGCUGCCUCAGAAACGCACAGCUCCAACAAAGACCUUCCUCAGGAGACCCCCGCAGCAGAGGACAAGUGCAAGAACGUGAAGACCAAACCCUUCCGCUGUAAACCGUGCCAGUACGAAGCGGAAUCUGAAGAGCAGUUUGUGCAUCACAUCCGAGUUCAUAGCGCCAAGAAAUUUUUUGUGGAGGAGAGUGCAGAGAAGCAAGCGAAAGCCAGGGAAUCCGGCUCUUCUCCCGGGGAAGAGGGCGAUUUCUCCAAGGGCCCCAUCCGCUGUGACCGCUGUGGCUACAACACCAAUCGCUAUGAUCACUACACUGCUCACCUGAAACAUCACACCCGAGCUGGGGACAAUGAGCGCGUCUACAAGUGCAUCAUAUGCAUGUACACCACAGUGAGCGAGUAUCACUGGAGGAAGCACCUGAGAAACCACUUUCCAAGGAAGGUUUACACGUGUGGGAAAUGCAACUAUUUUUCAGACAGGAAAAACAAUUAUGUUCAGCAUGUUCGAACUCAUACAGGUGAACGUCCGUAUAAGUGUGAACUUUGUCCUUACUCAAGUUCUCAGAAGACUCAUUUAACCAGACAUAUGCGUACUCAUUCAGGUGAGAAGCCAUUUAAGUGUGACCAGUGCAGUUAUGUGGCCUCUAAUCAGCAUGAAGUAACCCGCCACGCAAGACAGGUUCACAACGGGCCCAAACCUCUAAACUGCCCCCACUGUGACUACAAAACAGCAGACAGAAGUAACUUCAAAAAACACAUGGAGCUUCAUGUGAAUCCAUGUCAGUUCAACUGCCCUGUGUGUGACUAUGCAGCUUCCAAGAAGUGUAAUCUGCAGUAUCAUUUCAAAUCUAAGCAUCCUACUUGUCCUAAUAAAACCAUGGAUGUUUCAAAGGUGAAACUAAAGAAAACCAAGAAGCGAGAGGCUGACUUGCCUGAUAACAAAAUCACCAGUGAGAAACCAGAAAGAGCAGGCAAAAGUAAAGGGGGAUGUGACUGGGAAGAAAAACGAGAGGUCUGUAAAGGUGGAGAAGAAAGAGAAUGUUUCAAGAGAGAAACGGCCUUGUAGUAAUGCCUCAAGCCAGGUGACCACCAGAACUCGCAAAUCGGCCAUGGAAGCUAAAGAAGUGGAUGUGUCCCCAGGAAACAAUUCAGAAAAGAACUGCAAAAGAAAGAAAAGCAAAAGGAAGGUGGAAGCUGAAGCCCAAUCCUUACAAGAGCCUGUUAAUGAUGAGGAACCUGUGACUAAAAAGAAAAAGAAGGCAGAAAGCAAAUCCAAAAAUAGUCAGGAAGUGCCAAAGGGUGACAGCAAAGUAGAGGAGAAUAAAAAGCAAAACAUUUGCUUGAAAAACAAGAGGAAAACCGUG